AGCGAACGCUGGCGGCAGGCCUAACACAUGCAAGUCGAACGGACCCUUCGGGGUUAGUGGCGGACGGGUGAGUAACACGUGGGAACGUGCCUUUAGGUUCGGAAUAGCUCCUGGAAACGGGUGGUAAUGCCGAAUGUGCCCUUCGGGGGAAAGAUUUAUCGCCUUUAGAGCGGCCCGCGUCUGAUUAGCUAGUUGGUGAGGUAAUGGCUCACCAAGGCGACGAUCAGUAGCUGGUCUGGGAGGAUGACCAGCCACAUUGGGACUGAGACACGGCCCAAACUCCUACGGGAGGCAGCAGUGGGGAAUCUUGCGCAAUGGGCGAAAGCCUGACGCAGCCAUGCCGCGUGGAUGAUGAAGGUCUUAGGAUUGUAAAAUCCUUUCACCGGUGAAGAUAAUGACUGUAGCCGGAGAAGAAGCCCCGGCUAACUUCGUGCCAGCCGCCGCCGUAAAAC
rnacentral:rRNA from 1 species